rnacentral:antisense_RNA from 1 species
AAUCCCCGUGGACUGAAUCAACAGCCAAUUUGGAUAUCAUCAAGGCACCUGAAACCUUAUCAUGAGCCUGAUGCCGAGGAAGAGAUUCUGGGAGGAUCCCCCAGUUGCAGCCAUGUUGAGACUGACGCUGAGGAGGACCCCAGCUGUCACGAGCAACACCCACCAAAUGCAGCCACCUACCUGGGGACAGAUCAAGAAGCUGUCACAGAUGGCAGAAGAAAACCUAAGACUGGAGAGGACGAACGCCCUGAGGUCCAAGAACAUGGAAACCUGACAGUGGACGCCAACAGCUGUGGAGAGAAGCCGGACGAGUUGCUCACGCUGCCGUGUGCCCAGCAAUCCUGCUUUAUCUUUUUAAAUAAAGGUAAUUCCUGAUAACA